GGCUGGGCUGUCCCUGCUGUACAGAAAUCUGGUGUGCUGGCCCUAAAUCCUGCUGGCAGCUGGGCUCAGGGCGCAGGUGCACAGGUGGGGAUGGGAUGGAGCCAUCACACCUGUCCUUGUUUGCGCUCCAGUGACCUCGCAGCAGAACAUUUCUGCACACACUGACAGCACGGCAAUGGGAGAGACAUUAACCUCUGAACUAGAGCUGCUGACAGCUUCCAAACAAAUAAUCCUGGGGAAGUUCUCCUCUCCAGGGUAGGAGAGUUGCUGGAGGUUUCACGGUGGCAGAAGAAGAAAAGGAAAUGAAGCCCAGCUCUUCUCACGCUGCCUGGACUCUCCUUCCCACCUCUGAAACGCCUUUUUAACAAAUACCACCAGUUUUUUUCCUUUUUCAGAAGCGAGACUCCUGCAACCCCAGGGCAUGGAAUCAUGAAACAGCUUUUGUCUUGGAGCUGGCGUCUGUGUUAUCAAGCCCUUGCCCUGCUAUUGUCCGAGCCUGCAGGAAAAGGAAGGAGCCGAGGCCCCCGCGGUUCCUUCCUGCCCGGAGCCGGGGCUGCGCUGGAUCCUCUCCGUCAGCUCCAGCCCCCGGGACCACCGCGAUGACAACUUCCACAGGACCGCACUCCCUGCCAGGCAAAGCAGAGGAAGCUGCUAAUGGAUGCUAAUGGAGCUGUGAGGAUGCUCCUGGGGGGCACCGAGCCGUCCUGUAGCGAGAAAAGCGGCGAGCAGCUCCACUCGCACCUGCACGGCUGUUGUGGCUGUCGCUCUCAGACAUCCCUGGGGGUUACAGCUUCAGCAGAUUAGGGCAGAGGAAGAUUUGCAGCUCCAGGCAAACCACGGAGGCAGGGCAACACUGGUAUGAAGCUGAGCUGAUCAAACAGCUGCUGACAGGACAGAAGGAUUGACAAGGACUGUACAAGGAUGGAGAAAAU